AGAAUAAAAAAGCUCCCCCAUGAAAAUUCCAAUCCGAUGAUAUAUGCUCACCUGAUCCACAACCUCGACCCUGCCGGCCCACAAACUCGACAUUUUCACUCUAUCACGAAACUUGGUGGGCAGUUUGGGCAUACUUCGACAGAUAACGACCAAAAUCCAAGUAAUGUAUAUUAAGAUCUCAAAGUAGUCCAGCAAGCAUGGCUCCAGGGUCAUCGUAUCCUGCUGGCGUAGCAGGUGACUGAGGCUGUACUGGAGCGACAACAGCCGUAGGUGCAGAUGUUGGGGUCGCUACGGGAAUGUUGACCAUAUGUUCCUUGAUGAACUCCUUCAACUCAAAAGUCAAUGCAGGAUCCCCAGAAGCAAUGGUUAACCUCAGUUGAGUCCUGUCUGAUGGAUCCGUUUCAACUCUUAUCAAACAAAGCAUUGCGCGAGUGCUCUCGGAGAAAAAUGUAGUACUGGCAACCAGAUUGUUUGGGUUUGUAUCGAGUCCUGCUGUUACGGCCAAGUGAAGACUGGUAAACAUAUUUACCAUUUCUGGUAGAGACAUUGGUUUUACGCCUCUAACCACUUCUUGAAGCUUCAGAGGUGGUCCGGACAAUGAUUUCCACUGUGGGAAAAACUCUUCAGCGGAGACUGAUAUAGGCUGCAA
rnacentral:misc_RNA from 1 species